AUUGAACGCUGGCGGAAUGCUUUACACAUGCAAGUCGAACGGCAGCAUAGGUGCUUGCACCUGAUGGCGAGUGGCGAACGGGUGAGUAAUACAUCGGAACGUGCCCAGUCGUGGGGGACAACGUAGCGAAAGUUACGCUAAUACCGCAUACGAUCUAAGGAUGAAAGCGGGGGACCGUAAGGCCUCGCGCGAUUGGAGCGGCCGAUGUCAGAUUAGGUAGUUGGUGGGGUAAAGGCCCACCAAGCCAACGAUCUGUAGCUGGGCUGAGAGGACGACCGGCCCCCCUGGGAUUGAGACACGGCCCAGACUCCGACGGGGGCAAGCAGUGGGGAAUUUGGGACAAUGGGCGCAAGCCUGAUCCAGCCAUUCCGCGUGCAGGACGAAGGCCUUCGGGUGGUAAACUGCUUUUGUACGGAGCGAAAAGCCUUGGGUUAAUACCUCGAGGUCAUGACGGUACCGUAAGAAUAAGCACCGGCUAACUACGUGCCAGCAGCCGCCGUAA
rnacentral:rRNA from 1 species